rnacentral:rRNA from 1 species
CUAUGGAAGCUUGCUUCCACUGAGAAGAUAGUGGCGAACGGGUGAGUAACACGUGGGUAAACCUGCCCAUAAGAGGGGGGAUAACAAUCCGGAAACGGGUGCUAAUACCGCAUAGUUUUCUUGAUCGCAUGAUUGAGAAAGGAAAGACGGCCUUUGUGCUGUCGCUUAUGGAUGGACCCGCGGCGUAUUAGUUAGUUGGUGAGGUAACGGCUCACCAAGACGAUGAUACGUAGCCGACCUGAGAGGGUGAUCGGCCACAUUGGGACUGAGACACGGCCCAAACUCCUACGGGAGGCAGCAGUAGGGAAUCUCCCGCAAUGGACGGAAGUCUGACGGAGCAACGCCGCGUGAGUGAAGAAAAGGGUUUUCGGAUCGUAAAACUCUGUUGUCAGAGAAGAACAAGUUGGAGAGUAACUGCUCCAGCCUUGACGGUAUCUGACCAGAAAGCCACGGCUAACUACGUGCCAGCCGCCGC